CAGAAAUAAAGAGGGAGAGAAGAGGAAGGACAAUUUUCUGACCAUGUCACUGUGUUGAUUCAGAGAUCAAUAAUCUUCUGCUGGAGAUGUACUUGCAAAAACAAGCCAGGAGGUUUCCCUGCAUAAUGCCACAGCACAAACUUGCACCAGCAUUAUCUUACAGGUCUGUGCUGCUCACCCAGGAGCCUACAUGAUACCACACACAGUCAACAUUAUAUAGUUCCCAAAUGAAGGUCAUUUACCCUAAUGUCAAAUGGAAUUUCUUUUGUUCCUUGACAAAAAGUGUCCAACUCAGAAUAAAGAGACAACAAGAGAAGCAAAAUGAAGUUGAACAGUCUGCAUAUGAAAAACAUAUCUGAAUGCUUUGAGCAUUUUCAGGCCUGAAGCUGAUGUUCCUCUGUGGCAAAAGGAGCUGAAGGGUACCAUGGGAUCACUGAAUCUUUCUCUGCGUAAAUCACAGCAAAGUCAGAAAUGUUUGGAAAAGACCUGACCUUAGCAGGGUGAGGGUGGCUCUAGUUGUUUGUAAAUUAAGCACAACACUCACACUUCAGCUACUGUUUAAUUAGGAAAAUCAACAUAUUUGAUGAGAAAUAUUAUAACAAAAUAAAUUUUUAGCAAUAAAAUAUCUGGAUGAGUAUUUCCUAAAUUUCUGUCAUUUUCCCAGUAUUGCAAAUGCUGCAUUAUUGCUUUCCAGAAAUUCUUACUGCUUUGUUUCCAAAAUGUCCUGAAAAGAUUCAUACUUUUUCUUCUCUUCCCAUUUACAGUGUGAAGGCCCAUCUGUGCUUUCUGCUGCAAGCUACAAAACCAGAAGUUUCCUUGUCCUGGAAAGGGUGAUUUUUAUCCAAGAUCUUAAAAGAGGAGUGAGCCACGUGACUGUAGGGAUGCAGUCCAACCGACUCAUGAGGGGCUCAGCAGAGGGAGAUGAGGCACGUGGUAGGUAGUGUCUCAGUCCUGUGGUGAUGGAGAGCUUCCCAUGGGAUCGCAUCAGCGCUGAUGCUAUUGGUUCUUGGUAAGACAUCCCAGGAUGACAUCUGUAAUGGAGAAUUAAUGUUCCUGUAGUCUCUGCCUGCUUCGGAACACCAGUACUGCAAGCUGGGAACUGUCAGCUGGAACUGCAGGCCACCAGCUGCAUUUCUCUGCUCCAGAGACUUGGGGACAGCCCUCAGGGGUUGUGACAAAGUAGACGCAACUGAGGUGACUACCUGAUCCUUAGUCUUCUUGAUUUCUUGUUGACAUGAAGAGUCUGUCUUUUGUUUUCCCACAUUGCUAGAGGAUGGUAGCAAAAACAUUAAUGGAUGUGGAUCAGCAACAUCGCUCACAGACUGGGAGAGGAGGAAGGAUAUCCUGUCCUUCACUACUGAAGUUUAAUACCAACUUGCUGACCAAUCCAUGGCACUCAUAUUCCUGUCAGCAGAUCUGGAUUUUACAGCAGCAAAUAAGCCACUAAUGGUACAAACUCUUUCUCAAUAUGGUGUAAUACUUGACCAACCCGGGCCAAAAAAUGAAGUCAAUUCAUCUAAUGAAUAGAGUGCAAAAAAUCUGCAAGGCAAUAUUGAAAGGAUGCUGCACUGAAGGAAAACAAGGAAGCAACAAAAGUUACAAGAAACUCAUUUUUUGAGGACAAAAUGGAAAAAUAUUCUACAGGAAUGUUGUUCUUGUGGUCUGAAAGCCAAUUUGAGUGAUCUGGGUAUGGGAAGCUGAGGCAUGGGCAGCAGUAAAACAUGCCAGAAGUAUGGUAACUUGGGAUCUACGUUCAUCCUGCGUGGAAAGAUUUUGAGAUUCCUCACAUCUGGAAAUGUAUGGUCCUUCUGGAUCUCCUGCUGAAGACCCCUUCCAGCUGUUCCUGACAUCUCAGUACCCCUGGUUCCCUGUCAUCAGGACCAGCACCUGUCAAGAGCAUGGCUUUGUCUGCAUUGCCUGAGUGCAAAGUGGAAGCUGACAAACUGCACAGCCUGAAUUCCCGAUGACAAGACCGAGAUCCCAGAUCAAUGAGAUCACUUAGAGGCUUGUCAGCUUGGUUGGACUUUGCUGGGAACACAGGCUGCCCUCUGACAUGGAGGAAGGUAGAAGCGAGCUGACGUGCUCAGGAUGCUUUGUGAGGAAAGAAAAGCAUUGUGGUGGCUCUUUCCAGGUGCUGAGUUUGUUUCCCAAGGAACCAAGCUGGAUCACCCAAAAGCUGCUACAUGGCACCACCUUCAUUUUUAAUAGUGUGAUUCCAGCAUUGUAGUAUUGUGUACAGCCCAAUCCUCAGAUGGAAUACAAUCACGUUGUAGCUCAUUUUUAUAUCAGAUGAGGAUUCACUAGAGAUAAGAUUCUUUAGCAUCCACCCACACAUGGUACUAACAGUGAGAAACCUGUUUCACAAGGUCUUAAAGCGUGGUGCGGUAACUUGAGAGGAAAAGUGAACCUAAGAGAACUUUGAGAACCUAAGUGAACAAGGGAGAUCUAGUUAAUCCUCUGUACUUUUCCAAGCUGGAAUUAUGGCUUUUAACAUUUCUGUUCCUGAGAUGUUGGGCAACAGGCUGAAGCUGGCCAGUUUUACUUUUGAAGUAUGGAUCUUCUAUAUCAGAGGAGUCAAGGCUACAGGCAUAUCUAACAAACAACUCGAGCCUGGGACUAUCUGGAUUUUUAAGUUCAUGAUGGAAAAGGGUAUUGUCCUUGUUUUUCAGGAUGCUUAUAAGCCUACGUUAGUAAACACAGAUGAUGGCAAUUAAGGCUUUGGGAGAAUCUUGGCACGUUGGAACUGACCGCUUUUCUGAUUGAGAACUGAGAUACUGGGAGAACCCUUUAUCCCCUGGUUGAGCAAGAACAUCUUGAAUCUGUUUAUAUGUGUGUAUGAAAAAAAUUAAUUAAACCUCUACGGGCCGGAUUCCUCAAGGAUGAUAAAUGCUCAGCUGGCUUUAGGAUCCUGCACAAAAAUAUGAGUUAACCUGGAGAGCUUUUGGAUUUCAGAUAAAACUGAGGGGCAAGGUUAUGAGGCACACACAAUGAAACAUCACCACUAGCAGGUCACAUUUUUUCCAUGUACAGAGCUGGUGAAAGCACCCAGUUGGGUGAUUUUUGCUUUGUGUUAUUAAUAAACUCAACAAAUGUUACCUUUCUCAUGCACUGAUCUGAUGCCCCAGCAGUCACCCAUCCACAUUCCCUGGAGAACGGGAGCUGAGGAAGUACCCACAGCUCAAUGGAGACACAAUGCUGUUCAAGUUUUGAAUUGCUUGAAUGAUUUGUGUUUUCUCUCUCAUCCCACCAUUCCCUAUACAGCAACAUGCUGAUGAUGGUUACCUCCCAGAGGCUGGAUUCAAAUGCCUUUCCCCAGAGAGAGCUGAACCUGCAUCUCCCACAUCUUGGCUGAGUGCCUUAAAUACUUGGUAAAGGAUCUGGAUAUCCUCUUCAGUGCUGUAAACCUAGGCCAAAAAUAGUUUUCAGCUGCAACUAUAUGACUAAUUUGACCUGAGACUACUUCUGUAGGGCAAAUAUUUUAUUCACAGAAGAAAAAUACUUGCCCUCCCCUAUGAAGAAGAUAGAAGGGAGAAAGAUGUGCUACAGCAAAUGAGCCAUAAGAUCUUGUAGAAAAUGUUAGGACUUGACACUAAUAUACAGCACCGUUUCCCAAGCAAAGUUUGAAAAACCCAGAGUUCUCCUCCUCAUCUCCUUUCGCACAUAGCUAUGUCACUACUUACCUGUUGGUUUCCAGAAUAUCUCAAAGUCACUACCAUUCUUCCAAAAACCAAAGUGAGAUAAUGAAUAUAUACAUUUUAUAGCUGCAAACCCAGAGAGACGGUGCAGGUAGGUGUCUGAAAUAUGCAAAGUACUUCCAAAAAAAAAAACAACCCAAACCAACCCAAAACAUGCAAAUUAUUUGGCUUCCUACUCCUGUGUAUUACAACAACAGCUUGUAGGAGGUGCAGGGGUUGGGAAAGAGGAACAGAGCUUAAACUAUCACUUUGGAACACCGAUUUCUCAGUUUGUUUCUGCUACAUAGAUGCAUUAAUAGUUUCACAUUGUGAGCUGAGAUGUUUGCAAAGCACUUUGUUCUGUGCUGCUUCAAUGGGUAGAAGUACUGGUUCUAGGUUUUAAAAGGCAUUUCAAGUUAGGCUCCUAGGAUCACAUUCAGACAUGAAUAAAUAAUCCAAUUUUCACAUUUGCUAUUCAGCAGCUUCUCAUAGCAUAUGUGGUUGCAGCUGCAGGGCCAAUAUUUUUCUAAGUCAGGAUACUUACUCAGGGACUUGAAUGCAGGCUUGAGAUGAGUAUUUGGAAAGGGAGCUAAGUGCCCAGUUUCUAUUGAGAAAAGAUUUAGGAGUUUCACAAGCAUAACUUAUAGGCGUCCAUUAGGAAAAUCUCAGCUUUGCUGUAAAUGCCUCUGGAUUCCUUAGAUUUCAUUCAUUUGGCAGCCAGGCACCUAGCUCUUUUGUAUGAUCUGAAAGAAAUUUGCAGAGUUCUGUAUAACUUCUGUAGUCUUUCUCUGGAAAAUGAAUAAAUCAUUCAAAUGGAAAUACUCAAAUAGCUGGGCACAUAUCCAGAUACAGUAUGCCUAGCUUAGUGGCAAAAACUUACAGCACACAUCCUGUAUUGUCAAGGACUCUGAAUGUUUUGGCUGCCCUAAUAGAAAAACAAUAAUUCAAUCAUGUAUUAUAAAGGAAUUUUCUGGAGACAUUUGGCUUUGCUCUAUCACCCUAUUAGAUUUGUUCUUAAUGUGGAAGAACAGCCCACUACAUUCAUUACAUACAUUAGACCAGCUAUGUUUAUUUCUAGGUGAGUUUCCCUAAGGUGGUUGAAAUGCCUAAAAAAAUUUUGAAGAUGCCUUUAUACCUAAUAACAACAGCACAGUCGCACCACUGUAUGCUCAGUAAGUGUUUCUCACAGUGGAGGGGCACAUUUAACAGAACUCGCUGUAAGUAUUUUAUAAAUCAACAAUAACAGACCCACGGGGUUAGGAUCAUUGUUUUAUUUUGCUGGCAGGGACCUGAAGCAUGUCAGAUGUUAUACAAAGACAAGAGAGAAUGUGUGAGGAGAUAGUUAUGCUAAUACUUCCCCCCUUCCUCUCUGGAGUAACUGCCUUAACAUUACACAAGUUGAUGUGUCCUCAGCCGUUCCAAAUUACCUACACCUGUUGGAUCUGGCACAUUAAAUAAAUACCCAAUGAAACAUAACUGCUAAAACCCUUUUCCUUAAAUGUUCUUAAAGACCAGCAUCUCACUUGUUUGUAAAGACUGUCUUAUGCUGCUUGACUGCUUCCAACAGUAAGCCCACAGAUGUCAGUGACCUCUCAGAGUUCACAGGGGACAGUUUAACUUCUCAGGGUCUUUUAGAUGUUCCCAGUCAUCCUCAUCUCAUGAAUAUGCCAUGUACCCAGCCGCUCCUGUCUGCCCUGGAGAUCUGUGCUGAUGUGGCUGGUUGGCCAAUGGACCAAUUGUCACUUCACGAUGGAGUUUCAGGCCUGAGGGAAAACUUUCUCUGCAGAUGUUCAUCCCACAAAGCAGCUGCUCAUACGCCAUGCCUUCCAUCCUCAUCCCUACAGCCAGCCCAAAGCUCACACAAUGACAUGCCCUAUACCACCCAUUUCCCUCCAGGAAUGCCCAUGCACAGCAGGCACUGUGACACACAGAGCCAUAGAAUCAUUCAGGUUGGAAAAGAUCUCUAAGAUCACCAAGUCCCCACCAUGCCCACUAACCACAGC